AACGAACGCUGGCGGCGUGCCUAACACAUGCAAGUCGAGCGCGAAAAGGGCAACCUGAGUAGAGCGGCGCACGGGUGCGUAACACAUGGGUAAUCUGCCUUAGAGUCGAGGAUAACCUUCCGAAAGGUUGGCUAAUACUCGGUAAGCUUACGGUGUCUUCGGACGCUGUGGGAAAAGUAGGCCUCUGUUUACAAGCUUACGCUCUGAGAUGAGCCCGCGGCCCAUCAGCUAGUUGGCGGUGUAACGGACCACCAAGGCAACGACGGGUAGCUGGUCUGAGAGGACGAUCAGCCACACUGGAACUGAGACACGGUCCAGACUCCUACGGGAGGCAGAAGUGGGGAAUUUUCCACAAUGGGCGAAAGCCUGAUGGAGCAACGCCGCGUGUGUGAUGAAGGUUUUCGGAUCGUAAAGCACUUUCGACUGGGACGAAAAACCUUUGGCUAACAUCCAGGGGCCUGACGGUACCAGGAGAAGAAGCACCGGCUAACUCUGUGCCAGCAGCCGCCGUAACAC
rnacentral:rRNA from 1 species